UACAUUGGGCUAAACAUGCUUUCUACGUGGAGUUAAUUAAGAGCAAUACAUUUCAUGGGUAAAGAAUUAUGCAUUUUAAUCUGAGGUAGAGAUGUUAGUGUUCAUUUGAAAGAGAUUGAGAUAAUUAAAUAUGUAUUGUGAAUGAAAGACUAUAGUUUUAAAAUGCCACAUGAUUUUUUUUUAUUUUAAUAUAGAGAUUUUAUGAAGCAAGUACUUUGAGAGGG
rnacentral:lncRNA from 1 species